rnacentral:lncRNA from 1 species
GGUGAUGGGAUAGGUUAUGGGGUGGUACGGGGUAAAUAUAGGGUGGUUAUGGGGUGAUGGAAUGGGUUAUGGGGUGGUAUGGGGUAUAUAUAGGGCGGUUUUGGGGUGACUGAGUGGGUUACGGGGUGGCAUGGGGUAUAUAUAGGGUGGCUAUGGGGCGAUAAAGGAAUCUAGGGGGCACUAUGGGGUGUAUAUAGGGUGUUUGGGGGGCAAUGGGGCGGGUUAUGGGGCGGUGUGGGGCGUAUACAGGGGGGCUAUGGGGCGACGGAGGGGUUUAGGGGGUGCUGGGGGGCCUCUAUGGGGUACUUAGGGUACUUUGGGGUGUCUAUGGGGCAGCUGUGGGGCAGCUGUGGGGCGCUGUGGGGGAUCUAUGGGGCAGCUAUGGGGCAGCCAUGGGGCAGUUGUGGGGUGCUACGGGGAACCUACGGGGAACCUACGGGGAACCUAUGGGGAAUCUAUGGGGCAGCCAUGGGGAAUCUAUGGGGCAGCCAUGGGGAAUCUAUGGGGCAGCCACGGGGAAUCUAUGGGGCAGCCACGGGGAAUCUAUGGGGCAGCCA